AAUCGGCAGCCGAGCGUGCUCCUCCCACCUCCAGCUACUCCAGCAGCCUCCCUAGGUCAUGAUUGCGCCACUGCCACCUGAAAACAAAGAGGAAGAAGACAAUAUGAAAGGAGAUUAAAAAGAAAUUUACAAGAGAGGGAAGGGGGUUCAGUUUUUAAGCAGCCAAGAAAAAGAAAAAGAACAAAAAAUCCAAACAACAACAGCCCAAAAGCCAUCGCCACCGUCGCGCCACUACCCCACCACCACAACCACCGCACCACCACCUAGAACCAAAGGGAAACCGAAACAAAAAAAGAAAAGCAAAACAAAAAACGCAGCAGCAAAAAAAACAAAAGAAAAGUCUAAAAAGAAAAUCUGGUCGUUCCUUCAUCACCACCGUGCCCACCGCCGCACCUUUGCUUUCCCACCACCGUCGCACCUACACAAACAAGCAAAGCAACAAGCAAAAUAUAAAAACAGUAAGCAAAGAAAAAAACAACAACCAAAAAGAAAAGGGAGGGAGAAAAUAAGAAAAGAAAAGGAGGAGAGGACACCGCGCCACUGUUGGCUGUCGCACCAGGCAGAGGAAGCGUCGUCGACGGUGCAAGGAGGCUAAGGGCUCGGCCCGAAGAAGAAAAAAAGAAGAAAAAGAAGGAGAGAAAGAAAAAAGAAAGAAGAAAGGGAAAGAAAAAAUAGAAAAAAAAGAAAUAGAAAAGUCAGUUGAUCCGACUCGACCCCACCAACCCGCGACCCGACCCGCGCUUCAGCAGCCCCAAAACAGGAGGCCUGCAGCAAAAAAAAAAACAAAGCAGGCCACAACCCAACUCCCAGCCUGUCUAGCAGCAGCUCCAGCAGCCCCAAGCCCAGACCAGUGCAGCCUAACAGCAGAAAAAAUAGUAGCAGGCCAGUCCAAGCCCAGCAGUUCUGACCCAGUCCAGUAGGCCCAUUUUGUGCAGCCCAGUAGCGCAGGCAGUCCAGUGCAGCAGCAGGAGGCCCGUCAGCGCCCAAUCCCAGAGGCAGCAGGCCAAAAAAAAGAAGAGAAAAAAAGAAGAAAAGAAUAGCAACCAAAAAGAAAAAGAAGAGAAAAAAAGAAAAAAGAAAAAAAGAAGAAA
rnacentral:lncRNA from 1 species